UACAACUGAUAUACCGAUGUCAGGAAUGAAAGCCGUCAUGUUGAGCUGAAACUGACAGUCUAAUACUCCUACAUGCAUUUAUCUUGAUAGAGAUACAUUGCGUUAUGUAUGAAACUAGGUGAAGUCGGCUGAAUCUAAUUCUAAAGCCACUCUUACAGAGAGGGUAUGGUUAGAGAUAGGCCGGGACGCUAUAAA
rfam:Bacillus cereus H3081.97 plasmid pH308197_258, complete sequence.